CUGUAAGCCUGUGAAGGUGUGCUGUGAGGCAUGCUGGAGGUAUCAGAAGUGCGAAUGCUGACAUAAGUAACGAUAAAGCGGGUGAAAAGCCCGCUCGCCGGAAGACCAAGGGUUCCUGUCCAACGUUAAUCGGGGCAGGGUGAGUCGACCCCUAAGGCGAGGCCGAAAGGCGUAGUCGAUGGGAAACAGGUUAAUAUUCCUGUACUUGGUGUUACUGCGAAGGGGGGACGGAGAAGGCUAUGUCAGCCGGGCGACGGUUGUCCCGGUUUAAGCGUGUAGGCUGACUUUCCAGGCAAAUCCGGAAGGUUAAGGCUGAGGCGUGAUGACGAGGCACCACGGUGCUGAAGUGACAAAUGCCCUGCUUCCAGGAAAAGCCUCUAAGCAUCAGGUAACAUCAAAUCGUACCCCAAACCGACACAGGUGGUCAGGUAGAGAAUACCAAGGCGCUUGAGAGAACUCGGGUGAAGGAACUAGGCAAAAUGGUGCCGUAACUUCGGGAGAAGGCACGCUGACAUGUAGGUGAAGCCCCUGCGGGUGGAGCUGAAGUCAGUCGAAGAUACCAGCUGGCUGCAACUGUUUAUUAAAAACACAGCACUGUGCAAACACGAAAGUGGACGUAUAC
rnacentral:rRNA from 1 species